UACGGGGGGGAGCAAGCGUUGUUCGGAUUUACUGGGCGUAAAGGGCGCGUAGGCGGCGCAACAAGUCACUUGUGAAAUCUCCGGGCUUAACCCGGAGCGGCCAAGUGAUACUGUCGUGCUAGAGUGCGGAAGGGGCUACUGGAAUUCUCGGUGUAGCGGUGAAAUGCGUAGAUAUCGAGAGGAACACCUGCGGCGAAGGCGGGUAGCUGGGCCGACACUGACGCUGAUGCGCGAAAGCCAGGGGAGCGAACGGG
rnacentral:rRNA from 1 species